rnacentral:rRNA from 1 species
AUGGCGCAGCCUCUCACUCGCCGCCGUCUCCUCCUUCCUCCGCCUCUGCUUCUGCUGAUGCUCCUCCUCGCUCUCGCCGCCCACCAUCAGGCCGCUUCCGACCCACCGGCGACCCACGGCGGCAUGCGAGCCAGCGGCACCAGGUCCCUGCUCCAGCAGCAGCCGCCUCCUCCCAGGCUAGACUGCCCCAAGGUGUGCGCGGGCCGGUGCGCCAACAACUGGAGGAAGGAGAUGUGCAACGACAAGUGCAACGUCUGCUGCCAGCGCUGCAACUGCGUGCCCCCCGGCACCGGCCAGGACACCCGCCACAUCUGCCCCUGCUACGCCACCAUGACCAACCCGCACAACGGCAAGCUCAAGUGCCCCUAG